rnacentral:rRNA from 1 species
GACGAACGCUGGCGGUGUGCUUCACACAUGCAAGUCGAACGAGGUAGCAAUACCUAGUGGCGGACGGGUGAGUAACGCGUGGGAAUCUGCCUUUAGAUGGGGGAUAACGGGUCGAAAGACUCGCUAAUACCGCAUAUGACGAAAGUUGAAAGGAGUAAUCCGUCUAAAGAUGAGCCCGCGUCCGAUUAGCUAGUUGGUAGAGUAAAAGCCUACCAAGGCGACGAUCGGUAGCUGGUCUGAGAGGAUGAUCAGCCACAAUGGGAACUAGAGACACGGCCCAUACUCCUACGGAGGCAGCAGUGGGAAUUUUACGCAAUGGCGAAAGCCUGACGUAGCGACACCGCGUGAGCGAAGAAGCCCCUUGGGGUGUAAAGCUCUGUCAGCUGGAACGAAAAAAAUGACGGUACCAGCAGAGGAAGCAUCGGCUAACACGUGCCAGCAGCCGCGGUAA